rnacentral:rRNA from 1 species
UACGAAGGGGGCUAGCGUUGCUCGGAAUCACUGGGCGUAAAGGGUGCGUAGGCGGGUCUUUAAGUCAGGGGUGAAAUCCUGGAGCUCAACUCCAGAACUGCCUUUGAUACUGAAGAUCUUGAGUUCCGGGAGAGGUGAGUGGAACUGCGAGUGUAGAGGUGAAAUUCGUAGAUAUUCGCAAGAACACCAGUGGCGAAGGCGGCUCACUGGCCCGGUACUGACGCUGAGGCACGAAAGCGUGGGGAGCAAAC